AGUGAACGCUGGCGGUAGGCCUAACACAUGCAAGUCGAACGGCGGCACAGUAAGAGCUUGCUCUUACGGGUGGCGAGUGGCGGACGGGUGAGGAAUACAUCGGAAUCUACUUUUUCGUGGGGGAUAACGUAGGGAAACUUACGCUAAUACCGCAUACGACCUACGGGUGAAAGCAGGGGAUCUUCGGACCUUGCGCGAUUGAGUGAGCCGAUGUCGGAUUAGCUAGUUGGCGGGGUAAAGGCCCACCAAGGCGACGAUCCGUAGCUGGUCUGAGAGGAUGAUCAGCCACACUGGAACUGAGACACGGUCCAGACUCCUACGGGAGGCAGCAGUGGGGAAUAUUGGACAAUGGGCGCAAGCCUGAUCCAGCCAUACCGCGUGGGUGAAGAAGGCCUUCGGGUUGUAAAGCCCUUUUGUUGGGAAAGAAAAGCAGCAGGUUAAUACCCCGCUGUUCUGACGGUACCCAAAGAAUAAGCACCGGCUAACUUCGUG
rnacentral:rRNA from 1 species